rnacentral:rRNA from 1 species
GAUGAACGCUGGCGGCGUGCCUAAUACAUGCAAGUAGAACGCUGAAGGAGGAGCUUGCUCUUAUGGAUGAGUUGCGAACGGGUGAGUAACGCGUAGGUAACCUGCCUGGUAGCGGGGGAUAACUAUUGGAAACGAUAGCUAAUACCGCAUGACAACAGUUAUUGCAUGAUAACUGUUUAAAAGGGGCAACUGCUCCACUACCAGAUGGACCUGCGUUGUAUUAGCUAGUUGGUGAGGUAACGGCUCACCAAGGCGACGAUACAUAGCCGACCUGAGAGGGGGAUCGGCCACACUGGGACAGAGACACGGCCCAGACUCCUACGGGAGGCAGCAGUAGGGAAUCUUCGGCAAUGGACGGAAGACUGACCGAGCAACGCCGCGUGAGUGAAGAAGGUUUUCGGAUCGGAAAGCUCGGUUGUAAGAGAAGAACGAGUGUGAGAGUGGAAAGUUCACACUGUGACGGUAUCUUACCAGAAAGGGACGGCUAACUACGUG